AUGAGAGUCAGCAUUCUGAAUUCCUAGCCAAAAAGGUGCAAAUGUGUGGCUUAAUGGAGGGUUUCAACUUCAGCUAAGAACUCCUGAUGUGCCUGGUUCAAAGACGCUUCAGCAUCCCCUGAGGAGGAGCAAAGGGCUUGGCUCGACACUUCUCGAAACAUCACAGACAGAUGCUGAGGGAUUACGUAGCAACAAAAAUGGCUGCAAGCAACAUGCCCUGGCUGUGAGCUUCUCAGAGGCGUCUUUCUGGCCACCAUUGAAAGUUCAUUGCUGGAUUAGAUGAUCCUUGGUUUGAUCUAGCAAAUACAUUUUUAUGCUGUUAUUUAAUCAGAACUCACCAAAAAGUUGGAUUGAUUACAAGCGAGGAAGGGUGUGCUUUACAAAUUGCUGAUUUGACACUAGGAGUACUGUACAUAACUUUGGUUGAUACAUCUCAAAAAUGAUAUUGCGGACCUGAAAAGGUGCAGAAAAGGGCAAAAUGAUCAGGGAUGUGGAGCAACUUUAUACUGUGUUUGGGCUUUUUUAGUUUAGGAAAGAGAACCUAAGAUCACAGCUUUACUGGAUGACCCUGGCAAUGGUCAUCAAUGAUGGGUGAAGAUGAUGGGAUUUGUACUUCAAUACAUAUGUAAGUAAUCCAGCUGUGGAAGGUUAGUGCAGGUACUGUCAGCUCUGAUGCCAACUGGCUACUGAGAUGAUAGGUCAAGGCCUGCUGCAGUUCUGCCAUCCGAGACAUUUUGCCAACUGGAGAGGCCAGGAACUGAACCCCAGAACUUUGGCAUGCCAUGUGUGAGUUCCACCACCGAACCACGGAUCCUGUUGAAAUUUCCCUUGGCUUUCUCAGCUACCCUAUUCGAGAUGAACUUUGGGCAACUUUGACAGGUUGCCAUUCUGGGGGCCAUUUUGCCCUCCCUGGGAGCCCUCUGUACCUGGAGGCGCUGCAGAAUAUCAAAAGAGUCAAAACUAACUUGUUUGCAAGAUAUAUCUGUCUCUCUGGGGACUGUGCAGCAUGUAUGGCUGUCUUUUUCUUUUUGCAAAAAAUCCCCCUUCCUUUAGGGGAGUAUCCCCACAUUUGGGGGGAGCAGAGUGUAGGCUACAUGUGGCCCCUAGGCAUCAAGUUGCCCAGCCCUGCUCCAAAAGGUUUGCAGAGAGGUGUGUGUGUGUGUGUGUGUGUGUGUGUGUGUGUGUGUGUGACAUGGAUAAGAAGCAGUCUGGGUCAGAGAGUUCCAUUCACCAGAAAAACAGCACAAGGGAUCUGCACAAGGCGCUACAUCACUUGCUAUAUUAAAGCUGAUCUAUGAAUGAGCUAUACUGAAUGUAGCUCUCAUACAUUUCAAUCAAAACAACAUUUGAAAGAAAUAACAAUAUCCACUAGCAAUGCUUUUCACGGCCAGCUUGCUCACACGCUAUGUUUGCAGUGGAGGUAAUCAGCAUCCUCCCCAAGGAAAUCCCCUGGUUUCUCUAUAGUGGUCUCCCAUUACACUUCUAGUAGCUCAUGAUUAAAAACCCUUACUGUGCUGCAUGAUCAUUCACGACUGUUUAGAAGAUGGGUGGCUUUCCGCAGUAUGUGAACAUUUGCCGGCUGCGGUCGCGUUAUAAUGAUACCAACACAUUGAGAAUAAACCUUUGUGUUUUUCACAGCGCUUGCUACAUUAGGUGCCUAAUUUGAUUUGGGACUGCUCAGUGCUGCUGUAGUGCACAUUACAGCAAACAACAUCAUCAAUCCGAGGCCUCGUGUUCAGCAGCUGGCAACCUCGCUGUAAAAAAAUCGAAUACUAAACAAUGCCCACACCUGGUUUUGGAACAUCUGUCUUGCAACAGUGUCUCAGACAGAUCUAUAGCAAUCAGGCAGAAGUUAGUUAGUGGCAGAAUUUGGCAAGCUGGCCUGUGAGCAGGGCUGGCCUAUUUCACCAAUGUCCGUGAAGUUAGGUUUGCAGUUAGCUUGACUGAUACAUUAAUUAAUGAAAAUUUCAGUUGCUUUCAGCAAAAGCCCACAAUAAUCAAUCAGGCUGUUAGUUGAUCUGGUGGUUUGCUAUUUUUGAGACUAUUUCCCUGUGUUGCCUAUGACUACAGUAAUAAAAGGGAUUUUAUCACUUACUAUAGAACAGGUACUUUUGUCUAAUACAAUUUUGCGCUUCCUUUGGUAUUAAGUGCCUUUGGGGUGUGGGUAACAUGCACAUGAACUUAAACCGAAUUAACUAAAGAUGAGAAAUGUGUUUCAGUUCAUUUUUCAUUAGAAUUUACUCAAUUUUCAUCCUCUGGACCAAACUUGGAUUUGGAUGCAACCUGUGGUGAGAACCAUAUGUUUCUGAACUUGCAGUGUGAUUCACAGAUAAAAAAGUCUGUCUGACUACAUGGGUGCAAAUGGACUUCAAUCACUGGAGAAGUAUGUGUACAUUUCAAUGAUAUACACAACUAAUGAAAAAUAUGCACAGAUUUUCAUGUGAACAACAACAAAGCAAAUCUUACAAACUUAUAUGGUCAUGAGUCUUAACAAGCUUUGAGACUGAAUUAAAAGAAGUUGAGUGAGUUUGAGUUUUGCUGAUUCACACAUCCCUAAAAUUAACUGAUUAAUUGACAUGCAGUGGAAUCUAAUGUGGCUGCCUAUAUCCCUCCUAAACUUGGAGGAUUAUGAGUAUCCAAUGAGGGCAGAAGAUGGUAUUUCUCUUACCCUCCUACACUUAGAUGGCCAAUUGCAACUGCUUAAGUCUUUUACUCUGGUAUGUGAGCAGAUGAGGCUGAGGUGCCUCCAGGGUGCUAUGUACUAUGGCAGAGUGUUACUCCUUCCCUCCUUGCUCCCCUCCCCACCCCAAACCUCCAGCUCUGAGGUCAGUUUUCCAACCUUGGAGCUGUAGCAGGUAUAUAAAAAAGGUAGACUUGAUUGGAGAGGUUGGAUCUGGAACUGACCUCUUCCAUGACCCUGUAGGCUGGUUGGACUUUGUCUAGUAGCCAUAGGAUUGCACCCCAUACAGUGUACAGGCAGAUGAUCAUUCCAGUCUGUGACUGAUAGCUCUAAUAUAAACCGUGAUAAUAUGUAACGUCUCCCUAUUGCACCAUUUCUUCCUUCCUUCCUAUGCAUUUGCAGUAUGUAUUUGCACAAUCAAAACACUUUGUAUUGAAUUUUCCUCUUUUAUUUUGAAUAUUUAUUUACCUGUUAAUACUAUUCUGCCCUGUUUGAUUAUGCUUUGUUUUUCAUUAUUUUACUGUUUUACAUUUUGCUUAUACCCUAUUUUGAGAUUGUUUAAUAAUGAAAAGAAUGCAGGAAAAUCCAGAAAGAAAGAAAGAAAGAAAGAAAGAAAGAAAGAAAGAAAGAAAGCAAGCAAGCUCACAUUGAAGGAGAAAUAUCCAGAAUAAGGGUAUAAAUUAAAGCCAACAAGCAAUCAACAUUUGUUUCCAAUUACAAGGGAAGAAACUCAGUUAUAAAUGUCUCAGAGGUUCAGUCAUUUUGACCUGAAACUUUCCUCACCCUGAUGAAAGAAAGCACCAACUCCCACAAAGAGAGAAGUGAACUAACUGUCUGUACAUACUUGUUAGUCAUGGAUGUCCUGUUCUUUUCUACUUUGGUGGAUUCUGCAUUGAUUCCUUUCACGGCAGGCCUACAUUGGGUGCCAUAUUCUAGUUACCGCCUCCAUCUGAACUGUCAUGCAUAACCUGCCUGAGAUGGGGCCAGUGGAAUGAUGCACAUUAUAUGAAAUGGAGUGGCAUCAUCAUUAUGCUUGUGUCCGCUACCUGUGUCAACUAUCUCUGCUCCAUGGCGUAUGCAGGCACAGCUGUAUGUUGCAAGGCUUCCAUUUCAUCUGAAAGUCAGUGGGACGGGUCCCAAAUUGUGUGAAAGUGGUCACCUGCUCCAUAUGGAGGCCCUACUGCAAUGAUGCCUCAAUGGAAGCUAGAGCUAGCCAGCCAUUGAAGGGAUCUAGAAUCCCGUGGGAUCUAGAAUUAAAGAAGCAUCAACUGAGCUUGAACAAGGUUAUCACUUGUUCAUCCAGGCUAUAUCAUGCAUGCCUCUUC